rnacentral:rRNA from 1 species
AUGCAGUCGAACGGUAACAGGGAGCUUGCUCCGCUGACGAGUGGCGAACGGGUGAGUAAUGCGUCGGAACGUGCCGAGUAGUGGGGGAUAACGCAUCGAAAGGUGUGCUAAUACCGCAUACGUACUGAGGUAGAAAGUGGGGGACCUUCGGGCCUCACGCUAUUCGAGCGGCCGACGUCUGAUUAGCUAGUUGGUGAGGUAAAGGCUCACCAAGGCGACGAUCAGUAGCGGGUCUGAGAGGAUGAUCCGCCACACUGGGACUGAGACACGGCCCAGACUCCUACGGGAGGCAGCAGUGGGGAAUUUUGGACAAUGGGCGCAAGCCUGAUCCAGCCAUGCCGCGUGUCUGAAGAAGGCCUUCGGGUUGUAAAGGACUUUUGUCCGGGAGCAAAUGCUGGUGGCUAACAUCCACCGGAGCUGAGAGUACCGGAAGAAUAAGCACCGGCUAACUACGUGCCAGCAGCCGCGGUAAUACGUAGGGUGCAAGCGUUAAUCGGAAUUACUGGGCGUAAAGCGUGCGCAGGCGGUUUUGUAAGCCAGAUGUGAAAGCCCCGGGCUCAACCUGGGAACUGCGUUUGGAACUACAAGACUAGAGUGUGUCAGAGGGGGGUGGAAUUCCGCGUGUAGCAGUGAAAUGCGUAGAGAUGCGGAGGAACACCGAUGGCGAAGGCAGCCCCCUGGGAUAACACUGACGCUCAUGCCGA